GCAAAAAAAUAGUUCUGAUGAGCAAUAAAUAGUUCAAAUGAGCAAAAAAAAGUUUAAAUGAGCAAAAAAUAGUUCAUAUGAGCAAAAACAUAGAUCAAAUGAGCCAUACAAAUAUUUGACCAAUAAUUGAUAUUAUCCAAAAAAUCAAAUGAUACAAAAAUAUUUAGUUCAAAUGAGCUAAAAAAUAGUUGCUCAUUUGAACUAACUUUUUGAUUCAUUUUAAAAUAUUUUUUUGCCUAUUUGAACUAUUCUUUUGCUCAUUUGAACUAUUUGUUUUGCUCAUUUAAAAGCUAUGUUUUAGUUAAUGACGGUCAAUAGUUCAAAUGAUCAAUAGUUCAAACGGCAGUAGUUCAAAUGCGGAUCCACUCUCUAGACUAAUGAAAAUUAGCGAGCAAAUGCAAAUUAAUAUAUGAUAAUAAGUUGAAAUACGUGUGUUAUCUAUAUUGAUACUGGGGACUGGGGACAUUGUAAGAUUUUAUACAUUAAUAAUAUUUUAUUCAUUUUUUAUAAUUUCUGUCAGCAACUGAGUUUACUUGUUAAACUAGACUAUAGAAGGGACUGUAGACGCCAUUUUAAUUUUUAAAUAGGGACUAUUCGCAUGUUUGAUUCACAAAGGUACACUGCAAAGGUACACUGAAAAUCUAUAUCUGACCAGCAAAUUCACUUUUCCUCAAAAUGUGGAAAUCUUAAGCAUUCUUGAGAGUAUUGUGAAUGGAACAUGUUAGUCCACAGUCCCUUAAAGGGGUUUAAACUACUGUGCAUAAUGUAAGUUAAUUUAAUUAUUAUUUAGAUUUAGGUCGAUUUUUAUAUUUCAUAAAUCAUCCAUUGUUUCAACCCAAACUCAUAAAUUGUUGGGCAUUCCAUGUCAUCAUUGUAUGUGUCAGAAUUUUAUCAAAUUUCCAAACUUAAAAUGUUAAUAUAAAUAUUGGAAAAUAA